CCUACGGGAGGCAGCAGUGAGGAAUAUUGGUCAAUGGCCGUAAGGCUGAACCAGCCAAGUCGCGUGAAGGACGAAGGAGCUAAGGUUUGUAAACUUCUUUUGUCAAGGGAUAAAGGUAUCCUCGUGUGCCUAUUCGCAUGUACCCUAUGAAAAAGCAUCGGCUAACUCCGUGCCAGCAGCCGCGGUAAUACGGAGGGUGCGAGCGUUAUCCGGAUUUAUUGGGUUUAAAGGGUGCGUAGGUUGUUUUGUAAGUCAGCGGUGAAAGUGUGGGGCUCAACCAUAGACGUGCCGUUGAAACUGGAUGUCUUGAGUUGGCGAGAGGUAGGCGGAAUGCGUGGUGUAGCGGUGAAAUGCAUAGAUAUCACGCAGAACUCCGAUUGCGAAGGCAGCAUAC
rnacentral:rRNA from 1 species